rnacentral:rRNA from 1 species
UAGGGAAUCUUCCGCAAUGGACGCAAGUCUGACGGAGCAACGCCGCGUGAGUGAAGAAGGAUUUCGGUUCGUAAAACUCUGUUGUUAGAGAAGAACAGCGCAUAGAGUAACUGUUAUGCGUGUGACGGUAUCUAACCAGAAAGCCACGGCUAACUACGUGCCAGCAGCCGCGGUAAUACGUAGGUGGCAAGCGUUGUCCGGAUUUAUUGGGCGUAAAGCGAGCGCAGGCGGUCAAUUAAGUCUGAUGUGAAAGCCCCCGGCUAAACCGGGGAGGGUCAUUGGAAACUGGUUGACUUGAGUGCAGAAGAGGAGAGUGGAAUUCCAUGUGUAGCGGUGAAAUGCGUAGAUAUAUGGAGGAACACCGGUGGCGAAGGCGACUCUCUGGUCUGUAACUGACGACGAGGCUCGAAAGCGUGGGUAGCAAACAGG